CGGUUGAUCCUGCCGGACCUGACUGCUAUCGGAUUGAUACUAAGCCAUGCGAGUCUUUGUAGCAAUACAAGGCAGACGGCUCAGUAACACGUAGUCAAUCUACCCUAUAGACGGGGAUAACCUCGGGAAACUGAGAAUAAUACCCGAUAGGUCAUUAUGCCUGGAAUGGCUUAUGACUCAAAUGAUUUAUCGCUGUAGGAUGGGACUGCGGUCUAUCAGCUUGUUGGUGAGGUAAUGGCCCACCAAGGCUAUAACAGAUACGGGCUCUGAGAGGAGAAGCCCGGAGAUGGGUACUGAGACACGGACCCAGGCCCUAUGGGGCGCAGCAGGCGAGAAAACUUUGCAAUGUGCGAAAGCACGACAAGGUUAAUCCGAGUGUUCUCUGCUAAAGAGAUCUUUUGUCAGUCCUAAAAACACUGAUGAAUAAGGGGUGGGCAAGUUCUGGUGUCAGCCGCCGCGGUAAAACCAGCACCUCAAGUGGUCAGGAGGAUUAUUGGGCCUAAAGCAUCCGUAGCCUGCUCUGUAAGUUUUCGGUUAAAUCCAUAUGCUCAACAUAUGGGCUGCCGGGAAUACUGCAUAGCUAGGGAGUGGGAGAGGUAGACGGUACUCGGUAGGAAGGGGUAAAAUCCUUUGAUCUAUUGAUGACCACCUGUGGCGAAGG
rnacentral:rRNA from 1 species